rnacentral:lncRNA from 1 species
GGGACCCCUCCUCCGAACAUGCCCGAACCACCUCAGCCUCGCUUUUCGCAUCUUCUCAUCUACCGGGGCCACCCCUACCUUCUCUCGAAUAACUUCGUUCCUAAUCUCAUCUAGUCUGGUGUGCCCGCACAUCCACCUAAGCAUCCUCAUCUCCACGACUUUCAUUCUCUGAACAUGAGAGUUCUUCACGGGCCAGCACUCCGCCCCAUACAGCAUCGCAAGUCUAACCACGGCUCUAUAGAAUUGCCCCUUGAGUUUGUGAGGAACUUUCUUGUCGCAC